rnacentral:snRNA from 1 species
AUGGCUUCUCGGCCUUUUGGCUAAGAUCAAGUGCAGUAUCUAUUCUUAUCAGCUUGAAAUAGUUCUUAACCAUACUAUUUCUUAAUAAAAAUGUCACUAAAGUUUAAAAAAAUCUGAACUGUACUAUUU